rnacentral:rRNA from 1 species
CAGUCGCCGCGGGAAUACGUAGGGUGCAAGCGUUAAUCGGAAUUACUGGGCGUAAAGCGUGCGCAGGCGGUUAUAUAAGACAGAUGUGAAAUCCCCGGGCUCAACCUGGGAACUGCAUUUGUGACUGUAUAGCUAGAGUACGGCAGAGGGGGAUGGAAUUCCGCGUGUAGCAGUGAAAUGCGUAGAUAUGCGGAGGAACAACGAUGGCGAAGGCAAUCCCCUGGGCCUGUACUGACGCUCAUACACGAAAGCGUGGGGAGCAAACAGGAUUAGAUACCCCCGUAGUCCCUGUCUCUUAUAC